rnacentral:rRNA from 1 species
CUGCGGCAGCGACACUCAGGUGUUGUUGGGUAGGGGAGCGUUCUGUAAGCCUGUGAAGGUGUGUCGUGAGGCAUGCUGGAGGUAUCAGAAGUGCGAAUGCUGACAUAAGUAACGAUAAAGCGGGUGAAAAGCCCGCUCGCCGGAAGACCAAGGGUUCCUGUCCAACGUUAAUCGGGGCAGGGUGAGUCGACCCCUAAGGCGAGGCCGAAAGGCGUAGUCGAUGGGAAACGGGUUAAUAUUCCCGUACUUGGUGUUACUGCGAAGGGGGGACGGAGAAGGCUAUGUUGGCCGGGCGACGGUUGUCCCGGUUUAAGCGUGUAGGUGUGUGUUCCAGGUAAAUCCGGUUCACUUUAACACUGAGGCGUGAUGACGAGGCACUACGGUGCUGAAGCAACAAAUGCCCUGCUUCCAGGAAAAGCCUCUAAGCAUCAGGUAACAUCAAAUCGUACCCCAAACCGACACAGGUGGUCAGGUAGAGAAUACCAAGGCGCUUGAGAGAACUCGGGUGAAGGAACUAGGCAAAAUGGUGCCGUAACUUCGGGAGAAGGCACGCUGACACGUAGGUGAAGUGAUUUACUCAUGGAGCUGAAGUCAGUCGAAGAUACCAGCUGGCUGCAACUGUUUAUUAAAAACACAGCACUGUGCAAACACGAAAGUGGACGUAUACGGUGUGACGCCUGCCCGGUGCCGGAAGGUUAAUUGAUGGGGUCAGCGCAAGCGAAGCUCCUGAUCGAAGCCCCGGUAAACGGCGGCCGUAACUAUAACGGUCCUAAGGUAGCGAAAUUCCUUGUCGGGUAAGUUCCGACCUGCACGAAUGGCGUAAUGAUGGCCAGGCUGUCUCCACCCGAGACUCAGUGAAAUUGAACUCGCUGUGAAGAUGCAGUGUACCCGCGGCAAGACGGAAAGACCCCGUGAACCUUUACUAUAGCUUGACACUGAACAUUGAGCCUUGAUGUGUAGGAUAGGUGGGAGGCUUUGAAGCGUGGACGCCAGUCUGCGUGGAGCCGACCUUGAAAUACCACCCUUUAAUGUUUGAUGUUCUAACGUGGACCCGUUACCCGGGUUGCGGACAGUGUCUGGUGGGUAGUUUGACUGGGGCGGUCUCCUCCUAAAGAGUAACGGAGGAGCACGAAGGUUGGCUAAUCCUGGUCGGACAUCAGGAGGUUAGUGCAAUGGCAUAAGCCAGCUUGACUGCGAGCGUGACGGCGCGAGCAGGUGCGAAAGCAGGUCAUAGUGAUCCGGUGGUUCUGAAUGGAAGGGCCAUCGCUCAACGGAUAAAAGGUACUCCGGGGAUAACAGGCUGAUACCGCCCAAGAGUUCAUAUCGACGGCGGUGUUUGGCACCUCGAUGUCGGCUCAUCACAUCCUGGGGCUGAAGUAGGUCCCAAGGGUAUGGCUGUUCGCCAUUUAAAGUGGUACGCGAGCUGGGUUUAGAACGUCGUGAGACAGUUCGGUCCCUAUCUGCCGUGGGCGCUGGAGAACUGAGGGGGGCUGCUCCUAGUACGAGAGGACCGGAGUGGACGCAUCACUGGUGUUCGGGUUGUCAUGCCAAUGGCACUGCCCGGUAGCUAAAUGCGGAAGAGAUAAGUGCUGAAAGCAUCUAAGCACGAAACUUGCCCCGA